GAUUAUGGCUCAGGAUGAACGCUAGCUACAGGCUUAACACAUGCAAGUCGUGGGGCAGCAUAUAGAUAGCUUGCUAUUAUGAUGGCGACCGGCGCACGGGUGAGUAACGCGUAUCCAACCUUCCCCAUAGUAGGGUAUAGCCCGGCGAAAGUCGGAUUAAUCCCCUAUGUUGUUUGAAGCGGACAUCUAAUUCAAACCAAAGAUUUAUCGCUAUGGGAUGGGGAUGCGUCUGAUUAGGUUGCAGGCGGGGUAACGGCCCACCUGGCCGACGAUCAGUAGGGGUUCUGAGAGGAAGGUCCCCCACACUGGUACUGAGACACGGACCAGACCCCUACGGGAGGCAGCAGUGAGGAAUAUUGGUCAAUGGGCGCGAGCCUGAACCAGCCAAGUAGCGUGCAGGAUGACGGCCCUACGGGUUGUAAACUGCUUUUAUGCGGGGAUAAAGUGCGGCACGUGUGCCGUUUUGCAGGUACCGCAUGAAUAAGGACCGGCUAAUUCCGUGCCAGCAGCGGC
rnacentral:rRNA from 1 species